rnacentral:rRNA from 1 species
AGAACGUAGCGAAAUGCGAUACUUGGUGUGAAUUGCAGAAUCCCGUGAACCAUCGAGUUUUUGAACGCAAGUUGCGCCCAAAGCCAUUAGGCUAAGGGCACGUCUGCCUGGGGGUCACGCAUCACGUCGCCCCAACCCCAAUGCCUGGUUACCAGCCGGACGUUGCGGGAGCUGGGG